GAUGAACGCUAGCGGCAGGCCUAACACAUGCAAGUCGAGGGAGAAGCCCUUUCGGGGGCAGAAACCGGCGCACGGGUGCGUAACGCGUAUGCAACCUACCUUUCACAGGGGGAUAGCCCGAAGAAAUUUGGAUUAAUACCCCAUAAUAUUAUUGGAUGGCAUCAUUUGAUAAUUAAAACUGCGGUGGUGAAAGAUGGGCAUGCGUCCUAUUAGCUAGUUGGAGUGGUAACGGCACCCCAAGGCUACGAUAGGUAGGGGUCCUGAGAGGGAGAUCCCCCACACUGGGACUGAGACAGGGACCAGAAUCCGACGGGAGGCAGCAGUGAGGAAUAUUGGUCAAUGGUCGGAAGACUGAACCAGCCAUGCCGCGUGCAGGAAGAAUGCCUUAUGGGGUGUAAACUGCUUUUAUAUGGGAAGAAUAAGGCGUACGUGUACGUUGAUGACGGUACCAUAUGAAUAAGCAUCGGCUAACUCCGU
rnacentral:rRNA from 1 species